rnacentral:rRNA from 1 species
CCUACGGGCGGCAGCAGUGAGGAAUAUUGGUCAAUGGACGGAAGGCUGAACCAGCCAUGCCGCGUGAAGGUCAGUGCCCUUUGGGCGUUAAACUUCUUUUGUGCGGGAGCAAUAAUGGUCACGUGUGGCCAGACGAGAGUACCGUACGAAUAAGCAUCGGCCAACUCCGUGCCAGCAGCCGCGGUAAUACGGGGGAUGCAAGCGUUAUCCGGAUUUGUUGGGUUAAAAGGGUGCGUAGGCUGUGAGGUAAGUGAGCGGUAAAAGCCCGGGGCUCAACCCCGGCGAGCCGUUGAAACUGGCGGGCUGGAGUGGGAGAGAGGUACGCGGAAUGCGCGGUGUAGCGGUGAAAUGCUUAGAUAUCGCGCAGAACCCCGAUUGCGAAGGCAGCGUACCGGCUCCACACUGACGCUGAGGCACGAAAGCGUGGGUAUCGAACAGGAUUAGAUACCCUUGUAGUC